rnacentral:rRNA from 1 species
AUGAUGUUAGUAAGAACAUUCUCGACUUUCAGCAAGUGUUACGGCCAUUCGGUUGUUUUUCCGAGAAAAAGGUACAGCCACUCGGUUGGAACAUUGAGUCAUCAGCUCAUGUCAAGGCAGAGCAUCACUAGAGUAAGAGUUCCAAAUCUGAACCAAGUUUCGGCUUCAAGCCAUAACAUACUUUCAGGUAUUGGUAUCGCUGUCAAUCCAUCGCUACUUCUGCCUGGAACCAGUGCCCUGUUGGCACCCAGAAUCAGGCCCUGGUUGCAACAUGUGUUCAAACUCAAUACAGUGGCAAGUGAUUUGAAUGGACCAAGUGAGAGCACAUGUUCAAGGUUAAAGCUCUUUUCUGAAUAUCAUCCCCUUGUGUCGAUCUCUUGUGUCAUUACAGUACCAAGUGAUUCGAAUGCUUGA